UACGGGGGGAGCAAGCGUUGUUCGGAUUUACUGGGCGUAAAGGGCGCGUAGGCGGUCGUGACAAGUCACUUGUGAAAUCUCCGGGCUUAACUCGGAACGGUCAAGUGAUACUGUCGGACUAGAGUACAGAAGGGGCAACUGGAAUUCUCGGUGUAGCGGUGAAAUGCGUAGAUAUCGGGAGGAACACCAGUGGCGAAGGCGGCUUCCUGGCCUGUUCUUGACGCUGAGGCGCGAAAGCUGAGGGGAGCAAACGGG
rnacentral:rRNA from 1 species